GUGGGGAAUAUUGGACAAUGGGCGCAAGCCUGAUCCAGCCAUGCCGCGUGAGUGAUGAAGGCCCUAGGGUUGUAAAGCUCUUUCACCGGAGAAGAUAAUGACGGUAUCCGGCGAAGAAGCCCCGGCUAACUUCGUGCCAGCAGCCGCGGUAAUACGAAGGGGGCUAGCGUUGUUCGGAUUUACUGGGCGUAAAGCGCACGUAGGCGGAUUGGUCAGUUAGAGGUGAAAUCCUGGAGCUCAACUCCAGAACUGCCUUUAAUACUGCCAGUCUAGAGUCCAGAAGAGGUGAGUGUAACUCCGAGUGUAGAGGUGGAAUUCGUAGAUAUUAGGAAGAACACCAGUGGCGGAGGCGGCUCACUGGUCUGGUACUGACGCUGAGGUGCGAAAGCGUGGGGAGCAAACAGGAUUAGAUACCCUAGUAGUCC
rnacentral:rRNA from 1 species